CGCUGGCGGCGUGCCUAACACAUGCAAGUCGAGCGAUCUUCUUCGGAAGAGAGCGGCGGACGGGUGAGUAACGCGUGGGUAACCUGCCCUGUACACACGGAUAACAUACCGAAAGGUAUGCUAAUACGGGAUAACAUAAGAAAGUCGCAUGGCUAUCUUAUCAAAGCUUUUGCGGUACAGGAUGGACCCGCGUCUGAUUAGCUAGUUGGUAAGGUAACGGCUUACCAAGGCGACGAUCAGUAGCCGACCUGAGAGGGUGAUCGGCCACAUUGGAACUGAGACACGGUCCAAACUCCUACGGGAGGCAGCAGUGGGGAAUAUUGCACAAUGGGCGAAAGCCUGAUGCAGCAACGCCGCGUGAGCGAUGAAGGCCUUCGGGUCGUAAAGCUCUGUCCUCAAGGAAGAUAAUGACGGUACUUGAGGAGGAAGCCCCGGCUAACUACGUGCCAGCAGCCGCGGUAAUACGUAGGGGGCUAGCGUUAUCCGGAAUUACUGGGCGUAAAGGGUGCGUAGGCGGUCUUUCAAGUCAGAAGUGAAAGGCUACGGCUCAACCGUAGUAAGCUUUUGAAACUGUAAGACUUGAGUGCAGGAGAGGAGAGUGGAAUUCCUAGUGUAGCGGUGAAAUGCGUAGAUAUUAGGAGGAACACCAGUUGCGAAGGCGGCUCUCUGGACUGUAACUGACGCUGAGG
rnacentral:rRNA from 1 species